AGUUCUUUAUGAAGCUAGAGGGGAAAAUGCAUGCCAAAGAGGAAGAAACACGUCAGCUCCAAGCGAGAAAACAAGUAAUAAACCCGGGGUCUGAUUCUUGUGACUAACGGAAACAGGAAAACAAAGAAGCAGAGAUCAAACAGCUACGGAGAAAUCUCAAUUUCAAAGCAACUCCCAUGCCUGCCUUUUACCGUGAACCUGGAUGCCGCUCAGAAAAAAACAAGGAUGGACAGAGCUGGGAGGAGGCAGGAGCAAGAGCUGCAGUCAGAUGGAGGAUGGACUGAAAGAGAGAAAUUCUAGAUGUUCUGAGGGCAAAAACUGUUAUUUUCUGUGUUGAAACUGGGUAACAUCAAAUCCUCCGUGCACUUAGCCUACUGUUCUCACAUGAAAAGUAAAGCUUGUUUGUAGAUUUGUUUACAAGCAAUUUUUACUGGUUUAUGGUAGAAGCAAUCACUCUACUGUCAUUUUAUGACUCAAAUCCCCUUUCUUGGACAAGCAAAUUUUACCAUUCAAAAAAUUAAAACCAAUAAAACUUGCUUUGAGAUUUAGUUAUCUCUCCGUCUUCAUCCUUAUCCUCCUCUGAAGUGAUUAUUUUUCCCUCUCACUCCGACGACCUAGUAAUAUAACUUGCUCUUUUGAUUACUUUUUCAAGAGCUAGCAAGUAAAACUAAAUCACAAAGCAAGACUUCGACUGCAGCAAGGGCUAGAGCUACUGGUGCAACUGAGAACACUGUUUGUUGUUUAAGGGCAGAAGUUUAUAACAGAUGUUCCACUAAUGAACUUCUAAAUUUGGCCGAUUCACCACAGGUUUCAGAAGUAACUAUUCAUCCUUCAGCAGAGUUAUCAGACAGCAGCGUGCCUUCAGGUGCAACAAGCAAAACGUCCAAACAAACCCAAUCAAAUAGAACAGUAGCUCCAAAGAGAGAUCAAGAGAAAAGGCAGGUCGCGAAUUCUCCAAGACCAAGAACAUCCGAUUCUAUCAGGAGGAACAAAGACUUUAAAUCUGAAGACAAAACAAAGCUUCUUUCACGAAGAACAGGAAACAUGCAACGAGAAAGGAUGUUAGAAGUGUGGACUUGAGCCAUAGUACAAGAGUGGGUCGUUUAGCCGUUGGUGUUGCUUCCUAGACGUAUCAUCGUUUAGUUGUUGCUGUUGGUGUGAAUCUUCUUAUAUUCUUAGCAUAGCAAAGAUGAUUGGUCUCGUAUUUGAGACGAUUAACUUAGUGAGUAGGUUAGCAUUUCUGUUAGAUAUGCUGCGUAUAAUUAUGCCUAGUUUCGUAUAGAUAAUGUCUUUGAGCCAAGUUCUUGAUAUACCACAAA